UAAUGAAUAUUGGUCAAUGGAGGGAACUCUGAACCAGCCAUGCCGCGUGCAGGAAGACGGCCCUCUGGGUUGUAAACUGCUUUUAUUCGGGAAUAAACCUAUUUACGUGUAAAUAGCUGAAUGUACCGAAGGAAUAAGGAUCGGCUAACUCCGUGCCAGCAGCCGCGGUAAUACGGAGGAUCCAAGCGUUAUCCGGAUUUAUUGGGUUUAAAGGGUGCGUAGGCGGCUUAUUAAGUCAGGGGUGAAAGACGGUGGCUCAACCAUCGCAGUGCCCUUGAUACUGAUGAGCAUGAAUGGACUAGAGGUAGGCGGAAUGUGACAAGUAGCGGUUAAAUGCAGAGAUAUGUCACAGAACACCGAUUGAGAAGGCAGCUUACUAUGGGUUAAUUGACGCUGAGGCACGAAGGCGUGGGGAUCAAAAA
rnacentral:rRNA from 1 species